GAUGAACGCUGGCGGCGUGCUUAACACAUGCAAGUCGAGCGGAGGUAUUGUUUGGAAGGUUUCGGCUGGAAGGAUAAUACUUUAGCGGCGGACGGGUGAGUAACGUGUGGGCAACCUGCCGUAUACAGGGGAAUAAUCAUUGGAAACGAUGACUAAUACCGCAUGAGGUCACGAGGAGGCAUCUUCUGGUGAAGAAAGGAGAGAUCCGGUAUACGAUGGGCCCGCAUCUGAUUAGCUAGUUGGUGAGAUAACAGCCCACCAAGGCGACGAUCAGUAGCCGACCUGAGAGGGUGAUCGGCCACAUUGGGACUGAGACACGGCCCAA
rnacentral:rRNA from 1 species